rnacentral:lncRNA from 1 species
CAGGACUGCGAAAGAACUCAAGUGAUGAUUCACCUCCUGAGGUCUACUUGCUCACAUCUCUAUGGCAGACACCGGGCUGCGAACUGUGGCUCCCUUUUGACUAAACCUUUUCACUCCCUGCUUAGCCUGGUCUCUAUCCUGUGUCACUGUCACUGUGAGUAGUUUCCCUUCUAAUUCUGGCCAUCUGGACCUCUACUUCCCAGUUCCUGAUUUUUGCCUCCACAAAGUGAAGGAUGCCCAGGCCCUGAGAGCAAGCACGUACUCCACUGCCCUUUGCUGCCCUCUGCUGACCAUAACUGGAAAUGAUGGUUACUCUUUCAGGCCCUGUCUAUUUUUAAAACUCACAAAAUUUAGGAGAAAUAAACAGCAAAAAUGAGAAGGUCCAAGUGGAGCAGAUACACUAGGUGACUCCUGAAGAAAGUAGGUAAUUAAGAGAACAGAAGAAAAAUUGAUCUUUUAACAAAUAUUAACAUCUUCAUAGUUAAGAAG